GGUUAAGCGACUAAGCGUACACGGUGGAUGCCCUGGCAGUCAGAGGCGAUGAAGGGCGUGCUAAUCUGCGAUAAGCGCCGGUAAGGUGAUAUGAACCGUUAUAACCGGCGAUACCCGAAUGGGGAAACCCAGUGUGAUUCGUCACACUAUCAUUAACUGAAUCCAUAGGUUAAUGAGGCGAACCGGGGGAACUGAAACAUCUAAGUACCCCGAGGAAAAGAAAUCAACCGAGAUUCCCCCAGUAGCGGCGAGCGAACGGGGAGGAGCCCAGAGCCUGAAUCAGCAUGUGUGUUAGUGGAAGCGUCUGGAAAGGCGCGCGAUACAGGGUGACAGCCCCGUACACAAAAGCGCAUGUGCUGUGAGCUCGAUGAGUAGGGCGGGACACGUGGUAUCCUGUCUGAAUAUGGGGGGACCAUCCUCCAAGGCUAAAUACUCCUGACUGACCGAUAGUGAACCAGUACCGUGAGGGAAAGGCGAAAAGAACCCCGGCGAGGGGAGUGAAAAAGAACCUGAAACCGUGUACGUACAAGCAGUGGGAGCACAGGUUUACCUGUGUGACUGCGUACCUUUUGUAUAAUGGGUCAGCGACUUAUAUUCUGUAGCAAGGUUAACCGUAUAGGGGAGCCGGAGGGAAACCGAGUCUUAAUUGGGCGUUAAGUUGCAGGGUAUAGACCCGAAACCCGGUGAU
rnacentral:rRNA from 1 species